rnacentral:rRNA from 1 species
UGCCAGCAGCCGCGGUAAUACGGAAGGUGCGAGCGUUAAUCGGAAUUACUGGGCGUAAAGGGAGCGUAGGCGGCGUGGUAAGUCAGAUGUGAAACUCCGGGGCUCAACCUCGGAACUGCAUCCGAUACUGCCAUGCUAGAGUGGUGGAGGGGCAUCUGGAAUUCACGGUGUAGCAGUGAAAUGCGUAGAUAUCGUGAGGAACACUAGUGGCGAAGGCGAGAUGCUGGACACCUACUGACGCUGAGGCUCGAAGGCCAGGCUAGCGAAAGGGAUUAGAUA